rnacentral:rRNA from 1 species
GGAUGAACGCUAGCGGCAGGCCUAAUACAUGCAAGUCGAGGGGGAACAUGAGAGCUUGCUCUUGCUGACGACCGGCGCACGGGUGAGUAACGCGUAUGCAACCUACCUUUUACUGGAGAAUAGCCUUUAGAAAUGACGAUUAAUACUCCAUAAUAAUUAAGACUCUCCUGAGUUUUAAUUUAAAGUUUCGGCGGUAAGAGAUGAGUAUGCGUCCUAUUAGCUAGAUGGUAAGGUAAUGGCUUACCAUGGCGACGAUAGGUAGGGGUCCUGAGAGGGAGAUCCCCCACACUGGUACUGAGACACGGACCAGACUCCUACGGGAGGCAGCAGUGAGGAAUAUUGGGCAAUGGAGGCAACUCUGACCCAGCCAUGCCGCGUGAAGGAAGACGGCCCUAUGGGUUGUAAACUUCUUUUAUACAGGAAGAAACCACUCUACGUGUAGAGUGCUGACGGUACUGUACGAAUAAGGACCGGCUAACUCCGUGCCAGCAGCCGCGGUAAUACGGAGGGUCCAAGCGUUAUCCGGAAUCAUUGGGUUUAAAGGGUCCGUAGGCGGGCAAUUAAGUCAGGGGUGAAAUCCCACAGCUCAACUGUGGAACUGCCUUUGAUACUGGUUGUCUUGAGUUAUAGUGAAGUAGAUAGAAUAUGACAUGUAGCGGUGAAAUGCAUAGAGAUGUCAUAGAACACCGAUUGCGAAGGCAGCUCACUAAAUUACUACUGACGCUGAGGUACGAAAGCGUGGGGAGCGAACAGGAUUAGAUACCCUGGUAGUCCACGCCGUAAACGAUGAUUACUCGAUGUUGGCGACACACUGUCAGCGUCUAAGCGAAAGCAUUAAGUAAUCCACCUGGGGAGUACGAUCGCAAGGUUGAAACUCAAAGGAAUUGACGGGGGCCCGCACAAGCGGUGGAGCAUGUGGUUUAAUUCGAUGAUACGCGAGGAACCUUACCAGGGCUUAAAUGCAGAAUGACAGUUUGAGAAAUCAGAUUUUCUUCGGACAUUUUGCAAGGUGCUGCAUGGUUGUCGUCAGCUCGUGCCGUGAGGUGUCAGGUUAAGUCCUAUAACGAGCGCAACCCCUAUCUUUAGUUGCCAGCGGGUCAUGCCGGGGACUCUAAAGAAACUGCCAGCGCAAGCUGUGAGGAAGGUGGGGAUGACGUCAAAUCAUCACGGCCCUUACGUCCUGGGCUACACACGUGCUACAAUGGUAAUGACAGAGGGCAGCCACCUGGCGACAGGGAGCGAAUCCUUAAACAUUAUCUCAGUUCGGAUUGGAGUCUGCAACUCGACUCCAUGAAGCUGGAAUCGCUAGUAAUCGCGCAUCAGCCAUGGCGCGGUGAAUACGUUCCCGGGCCUUGUACACACCGC